UACGUAGGGUCCGAGCGUUGUCCGGAAUUACUGGGCGUAAAGAGCUCGUAGGUGGUUUGUCGCGUUGUCCGUGAAAACUCACAGCUCAACUGUGGGCGUGCGGGCGAUACGGGCAGACUGGAGUACUGCAGGGGAGACUGGAAUUCCUGGUGUAGCGGUGGAAUGCGCAGAUAUCAGGAGGAACGCCGGUGGCGAAGGCGGGUCUCUGGGCAGUAACUGACGCUGAGGAGCGAAAGCGUGGGGAGCGAACAGG
rnacentral:rRNA from 1 species